UAAGACAGGGGGCUCGAGCGUUAAUCGGAAUCACUGGGCUUAAAGGGUGCGUAGGCGGACCGGAAAGCGUCCUGUGAAAUCCCACGGCUCAACCGUGGAACUGCAGGGCGAACUGCCGGUCUUGAGGAAGGUAGGCGCCGACGGAACAGUAGGUGGAGCGGUGAAAUGCGUAGAUAUCUACUGGAACGCCGAUGGUGAAGACGGUCGGCUGGGCCUUUCCUGACGCUGAGGCACGAAAGCGUGGGGAGCAAACAGGAUUAGAUACCCUGGUAGUCCACGCCGUAAACGAUGCACACUAGAUCGGAGCGGCUCUGACGCCGGUUCGGUCGAAGUAAAAGCACUAAGUGUGCCGCCUGGGGAGUACGGUCGCAAGGCUA
rnacentral:rRNA from 1 species